rnacentral:lncRNA from 1 species
CCUAUUUCCUUUAGUUAGAGGUGUUUGCAUCCCAUUUGACCGUGUCAAAUGACUUCUUAAGGUCGAUGCUUAGACAACACCUUCUAGGGGUCCUAAUUCUUCUAAAACCAUGUAUCAUCUCAUCUGCUAGGAGGGUGUUAUCCAAAAUAUUUCUUCCUGCUUUGAACAAUGAAGGCAGUCUGUUGUGGUGAGAUGAGUUCAGAGGCCACCAUUAAUAUGCUCUCAACCAAAAUCUUUGUGAGG